rnacentral:lncRNA from 1 species
ACUUACUCCACUCCUAUCACCUCAUCUCUGCCUGACAUUGGGGCCAUUCAUCAGCAGGACAUUCAAAGACAAACAGGAAGGGCAUUUAGAAGAAAGAAUGAGAAUCAGGACACCUCCAAUUACCCAGCCAUUUACAAAGAUUCUUUGCAACCAGGGGCUUGUCUACCUGGUGGGCAGAGGAAGAAAACUUUGCAUUUGGCUGUUUGGAUACUCCCAAGUAACACAUCCAGCCAUUUGUAUCUGUAGAGACACAGGUGUGGAAAAGAUCAGCACUUGGAUUCAAUCUGGGUUGAAGUUUUGCCAGCCAAAGAACAAAAACAAAGAAAAACUGUGUCUGAGAAGGAGGAAGUCAGGAGCGACAACUACAAAACUAGAAGUGUGUGGCUGAGAUGCUUCUCUUCAUUCCCCCAGCUCCAUGUGCCUUUAAAACAAAGUACCAGGUUCUCAAGGGAUCAUGAAUGAUUCUUUUUUCCUCUCAUCCAAAUGCCCCCACAAUUUCCUCAGCUCUGCCUUGAAAGAGACAGUAUAGUAUAGCAGUUAAAAGCAUGGCCUCUGAAGUCAGAUUGCUGGAGUCUAAAUCCUGGUUCCACUAACUCUUCUGCUGCGUGACCUUGGGCAAGUAAAGCAACCUCUGUGAUUCAGUUGCCUCAUCUGUAAAAUGGAGGUGAUGAAGCUGAGGUCCAGAGAGACUGCCCAUGAAAUGAUCAAGCAGAGACCCACCCACAUCCAGAAACCUGAAGUUAUCCUGAGAACAAACGUCACUGCCAUGGAAACACCUCCUCCACGUUCCCGAUGGUGCACUGGUUUUCUUUCCUGUCUGACCAACAAGCCUCUGGAGAGUGGCCACCAUCUUACAGGCUCACUUUGUAUUCUGUAAACUUUCAGUUGGAAAAUAAACACACUGUCUCCCUGUCAAAGCUCUACCGUGCAUGAGUAUUUCUCAAGAGCCAGGGCGGAUGGUAGAGACAGACCAAGCAUUUCCAAGGAAACCAAAGGGGCAUAAUUGCUUCUUUCCAGGUAAUGUGGAUGCACUGGAUGGGGUCGGCUGCGUCACAGUGGAUCAUUUUCUUGUUAGCGUCUGGCCAGAGUGAUGUGAGUACCACGGGCUUCCUGAAUGACGCUGCACAGGCCCAUCUGCAAGUUACAAAGACCAAAUUGAAAAUAGAUCAUGGAGACACUGGUUGGAUACUCUGCCUUCCCUUGAAAGAUCCACGGUGGGUUUGUCCACUGAGACAUACUAUUGCUGGGACUUUUUUGUUUCUUUUCAUUUUCUU